AAGAUUAUCAGCAGGCAGGCAAAGAACUGAAACACAAAGACAGGUUAGAGUGGACCGUUUCCAUGGUUUCUGAUCUGGAACACAAAGACGGGUUAGAGUGGACCGUUUCCAUGGUUUCUGAUCUGG